rnacentral:rRNA from 1 species
UACGGGGGGAGCAAGCGUUGUUCGGAUUUACUGGGCGUAAAGGGCGCGUAGGCGGCCAGCGCAAGUCAGUUGUGAAAUCUCCGGGCUUAACUCGGAACGGUCAACUGAUACUGCGCGGCUAGAGUGCAGAAGGGGCAACUGGAACUCUCGGUGUAGCGGUGAAAUGCGUAGAUAUCGAGAGGAACACCGGUGGCGAAGGCGGCCUUCUGGACAGUGACUGACGCUGAGACGCGAAAGCGUGGGGAGCAAACAGG